UACAGAGGGGGCAAGCGUUGUUCGGAAUUACUGGGCGUAAAGGGCGCGUAGGCGGCCUGCUAAGUCGAACGUGAAAUCCCUGGGCUCAACCCAGGAACUGCGUCCGAUACUGGUUGGCUUGAAUCCGGGAGAGGGACGUGGAAUUCCAGGUGUAGCGGUGAAAUGCGUAGAUAUCUGGAGGAACACCGGUGGCGAAGGCGGAUCUCUGGGCCUGUCCUGACGCUCAGGCGCGAAAGCUAGGGGAGCAAACAGG
rnacentral:rRNA from 1 species